ACUCGUGCUUCAAAACAUCAUAGUCCCCAAAAGUGGUUCCCUGUAAGGAAAACAAAAUUUAAUGGAGUGAGCUUACGCCCAGUGAGGUACACUCAUGCAGAUCAGUAAAAUUCACAUAAGCACAUAGUUGCUCAGUCCAAACGUUCAACAAGUAAUUCGAACUAACAUUACAUUUAAAUUCAAUAAAAGGAUAUGGACGGCUCUCAAGAGCCCUUAUCCUCGCUUGCCGUACUUGAUCUCACCCCGUUGACCCUCCGUCAACGCUUAAAGAAAUAAUCAAUACCGUAGACCCCACUUUUUCCACUUUUCAUCCACCUCACAUAUCCCUACCGGACCCGAACUCCAACUGUGGAAAAUUGGCAAUACUUGAGUAUACCGGAAUCGAGAGUCUCAUACUACAAGAUUCCAUAUAACAGUCCCCAUUACUCGUCAAUUUUCACAACCAAACCCUUGCCGGCUCGAUUCAAUUGACACCAAUGGAUUUGAGUUCAGUGAUAACAAUAAUGGCCAUUGGAUACUCGUCCAACCGACACCAAUUCAAAUAUAUUCAUAUACCAUUCAAGUAACACAGUCAUAUGUAAGACAUAAAGGGUGAGAGUGAUCAAGUACACCCUCGCUUGAACCAAUUUCAACGGUGCAAAUAAGCAUUCAAGGCAUCAAUUUCAAGUGUAACAAAGCCAUAUAAUAACAAGCAAGUGAGUGGUACACUCACCAAGCAAAUAAAUGAAAUUUCAUACACUUUCGCCCAAAGAGCGUCUUGAAUCACCGUCACGCCUUAAAACAUUCAAACAAGUACAAUGAAACUCGAAUACGAGUCAUAAACCGAAUCCACAUACUACUAAAAUAAGGUUCCAUUAGAACGUAUAAGUACCAAAGUAAGUUAGGGAAAGUCCGGAAAUGAAAGUUAAGCCCUAAAUUUCAAAAACAGUUUUGACGUCGUUUAGCGUAUUGGACACAACUGGCUCUACGAUUAUCGGAUGGAUGUGCAAUUUAUACCGCUUCGAAACUAAGACAGAGGGCUACAACUUUGAUGAAAGCUACUCAGUCCAGUUUACAAUGUAUCUAGGUCAAAUUUACCAAAAUAAUCCCAGAUUUUCCAGUUCGAAAUUUACUGUGAAAUUCAACUAGCAGUCCUGAUUCAUUCAAUCAUAUCUCAGCACAUACGACUCCAAUUCCAGUGAUUCCAAAGCCUUUGGAAAGCUAAGAUACAAGGAUAUAAUUCUUAAGAAGACAUCGACAACCAAAUCAGUAGUAUUCUCGGUCAAACUAACCAAUUACAGAAGCUGAUUAUCAGUUUUGGACAGAAACAGGGCAGCAGGGGUAUUUUGGUCUUUUCACAGGCUACGUUGCUCCGAUUGGGCUGAAAUUUUGUAAGCAAUCAUAAAACAUCAUUCUCUACAACUUUCAUGUUUUACACUAAUGUCAAUUCGACCUCUAACUAGGAGAAACAAUACCGGGCAGAGCAGGGGAAAUUAAAACCCUAAUCUGGAAUUUUCCGCACAACAUGAAAAUUUUCCACAAUUAACUACAAUUUACGCACUAUGGCUUCAUUAUGGACUAUCCCAAGCCAUCAUCCAUAGCCACACCAUACUGAACAUAUAAAAAUAGAAAAAAUCAAUAAUAAAUAUAAAAUUCACCCAUCUCUACCAAAAGUCAAGAAUUCUUCCACAAAAUCACUUAUUCAACUACUAUCAAUCACUAAUUGAACAUUAUCAAGAUCAAAGGAAAGAUUCUUUAACCACUCACCUUGUAAACUCAAGAAAGAAAGCAACUUAGCCCCUUUGCUCCUCAAACCACUUCACCACUCACCUUAAUCCUACCAAGGGAAUGAUUUUUAUGGAGCAAAUCAAAGUUUUAACGGUUGGUUUGUGAGAUCAAUGCAAGAAAUUGAAGAAAGAAGUUGGAAGUUUUCUCUUCUUUUUCCUCCAAGAAAGUCGGCCAAGCGAGGGAGAAAUAAGAUGAUUUUUUGGUCAAUUUUUGGUUAAUUAGUAAAGGUAAGUAAGAUGUCAAAAUCAAGAAUUAAUCACAAGGUGACACUUGUCACCCUUCUUUAAUGCAACUCUAUCCUUUUGUCUUUCCAAUGAUAAUCCAUUUGGGUAACUUCUAAUUAUCUCUUAACACCUGAUAAAUUAAACUCGGUAUACACAACUUAACCUAAUUGGCCGAAUUUUAUCGAACUUUUCGCACUAGCGGGUCCCACGUCCGGUAUACGCUCUUAAUUUCUCAAAAACUAACCGAUACUAGAAAAAUUAUUUAAAAAUUAUAUUUACUCAUAAAAAUUAUCUAGAAAAUUUUUCUAAUAAAGAAAAUGUAGAAAAACAUGCACUUAAAUAGAAUAAAACCUAGAAAAUGAGAAAAUUUACGGGUUCUCACACCCUCUCCCCCUUAGAAGAAUUUCGUUCUCGAAAUUUCUCACCUUGACUCACGAAAAGUUCAGGGUAUUUCUUUUACAUUUCUUCUUCUACCUUCCAGGUAGUCUUUUCGAUCCCAUGGUUUCUCCACAAUAUCUUUACCAAAGGAAUCUGUUUGUUUCUCAACUCCUUAACUUUCCGGUCAAGCAAUUGUACAGGUUUCUCUUCGUAAGUGAGCGAUUCAUCUAUUUCGAUUUCCUCUGGCAGUAAGAUAUGGGAUGGGUCGGGAUAGUACUUCUUAAGUAUCGAGACGUGGAAGACGUCGUGAAUUCGAGAAAGACUGGACGGUAGUUCCAGGCGAUACGCUACUUUACCAACCCUUUGGAAAAUCUUGAAAGGUCCAACAAAUCUCGGUUGGAGCUUUUUUCCUCUACCCGCUGUGAUGCUCCGUAACGGUGUGACCUUGAGGAAAACAUGGUCUGCCACUUCGAACUCCAAGUCUUUUCUUAGAUUAUCUGCGUAGCUCUUUUGUCAGCUUUGAAUUGUUUGGAGUCGUUGUCGUAUUAACUUAAUCUUUUCUCGAGCCUCCUCCAUCCAUGGAAUGGUCGCUGGAUCUAGCGCCUUCCUCUCGCCAACUUCGUUUCAAUAGAUCGGUGACCGACAUUUUCGUCCAUAUAAUGUCUCGUAUGGAGCCAUUUGAAUCGACGAAUGGUAACUGAUGUUGUAAGCAAACUCCACUAAGGUUAUGUGUUGACCCCAGUUACCCCCACAAUCCAGAAUACAGGUCCUUAACAUGUUUUCAAGAGUUUGGAUUGUUCACUCCGAUUGUCCAUCCAUUUGCGAGUGAUAGGUGGUGCUUAAGUUGAGUUUGGUCCCCAGAAUCUCUUGAAAUUUCUGUCAAAACCUAGAUACGAAGCGGGGAUCUCUGUUUGAAACGAUGCUCACAGGAAUGCCGUGUAACCUUACGAUCUCGACCAUGUACACCUGAGCUAAUUUCUCCAUGGAGUAUUUCAUGUUGACAGGUAAAAAAUGGGCCGAUUUGGUUAAUCGAUCGACAAUCACCCAAAUGGUAUUGUGUUCUCGUUGCGUUCGCGGCAAACCUGAAACGAAAUUCAUUGUAAUGUUUUCCCACUUCCACUCAGGUAUCUCAAGGAAUUGUAACAAACCUGAUGAUUUUUUAUGCUCCGUCUUAACAUGUUGGCAAACGAGACAUUUUUGUACGUACAGAGCGAUUUCCUUUUUCAUGUUAUCCCACCAAUAUGUUCCUUUUAGGUCCUGAUACAUCUUGCUACUGCCCGGAUGGAUCGUAUAUUUGGAUCGAUGAGUCUCCUCUAAGAUCUUCGUCUUUAACGUUUCAUCUUUAGGCACCACCACUCGAUUUCGAUAUUUUAGAGUACCUUCGAGACUAAAGUUGAAGUCGGUUGAUUCCCCUUUUUUCACCUUCUCUCCCCACUUUCGCACCAUCGAAUCCUCCUUUUGUGCUUCUUUAAUUCGCUCCAGUAGGGUGGAUGUUACCUUAAUAUUACCAAAAAUCACCUUAUGACUCCCAAGGCAGGGUUUCCACUCGCAAACAGAUUCUAACAAAUCCCACUCUUUGAUCAUUAACCCUGCUAUUUGAGCCUUGCGACUUAAGGCAUCAGCCACCACGUUUGCCUUCCCCGGAUGGUAGUUGAUAGUGCAGUCAUAAUCCUCCAGAAAUUCCAUCUAUUGUCGCUGCCUUAUGUUUAAUUCCUUCUGCGAGAAGAGGUAUCUAAAACUCUUAUGGUCUGAGUACACCUCGAACGUUAUCCCGUAUACGUAGUGUCUCCACUUUUUCAGAGCGAAGACGACGGCAGCUAGCUCCAAAUCGUGGGUCCGGUAGUUCCGCUCGUGGAGUUUUAACUUUUUAAAGGCAAAAGAUAUCACAUUCCGGUUCUGCAUUAAAACGCAUCCUAGACCUUCUCGCGACACAUCGGUAUAAACGGCAAACCCGUCUACUCCGUUAGGCAAGAUUAGAACUGGCACCAUAGUUAAUCUUUUUUUUAGCUCCUGAAAACUCAUUUCGCAUUUGGCAUCCCACACAAACCGACCAUGCUUCUUUGUCAAGUCGGUUAAAGGACCGGCUAGUUUGGAGAAAUCAUUAAUGAAACGCCGGUAGUACCCAGCCAACCCUAGAAAACUACGAAUUUCCGUGGGAUUUUCUGGCCGUUUUCAAUUGGUCACCGCCUCUACUUUCGCCGGGUCAACCGAGAUGCCCUCAUGAGAAAUUACGUGCCCUAAGAAAGAAAUUUUCUCCAGGCAAAACUCGCACUUACUGAACAUGGCGUAUAACUGAUGCUCUCUUAGGGUUUGCAAAAUAAUUCUUAGGUGUUGUUUAUGCUCCUCGCGAGUUUUGGAGUAGACCAAUAUGUCAUCAAUGAAAACAACGACAAAUCAAUCCAAGUAGGGUUUGAAAACCCUAUGCAUUAAGUCCAUGAAGGCGGCAGGAGCAUUGGUUAGUCCAAAGUGCAUAACUGCGAACUCGUAAUACCCAUAUCUCGAAUUGAAAGCGAUUUUCGGGAUAUCUUUCUUCCUGAUUAACAACUGGUAAUACUCUUGGCGAAGGUCCAAUUUCGAGAAAAUCACUGCUCCUUGCAACUGGUCGAACAACUCAUCAAUGUGGGGCAGUGGAUACUUAUUUUUAACCAUGAUAUUGUUCAGGCCCCGAUAAUCGAUACAUAUUCUCAAACUUCCGUGCUUUUUCUAUACAAACAACACAGGGGCUCCCCAAGAAGACCCACUCUCUUAAAUGAACCUCCUCUCCAAAAGGUCUUGUAACUGCAACUUCAACUCCUUAAAUUCAGUAAGGGCCAUCCGAUACGGGGUUUUUGAGAUAGGCGAGAUUCCCGGUAACAGGUCGAUCUUGAAUUCUAUCUCUCUCUCCGGAGGUAGAGCUACUAACUCAUCAGGGAAUGCAUCCAAAAAUUCCCGUACUAUGUGCACAUCCUCUAUCUUCAAUUUAUCCGUGAGAGUGUUGAUUAGAAAGACUAAAACUCCUUGCACCCCUCUAUUUAGUAGUUUUCUAGCUCGAAUGCUUGAGAUCAGGGCGGAUGAAGCUAACUUUCCCCUUAUGUCUAACCUUAGGGUCGCCUCCCCAGGAAUGCGGAAUUCUACCAUCUUUUUCUUACAAUCUAGUUGGGCAUUAUACCUGGCUAACCAGUCCAUACCCAAGAUCACGUCAUACCCCUUGAUGGACAGGCUAAUCAAGUCCCCUAACAACUUUCUCUCUCCUACCCAAACCUCACAGUCCUUAUACACCAUACUAGUAACCAAGCAAUGAUCCCCCGUGGGGUACUAACUUCUAGAUCGUAAGGUAAACUAGCAGGUUUUAUGUCAAUGUCACACAUGAAAUUAGGGUUAACAAAGGAAUAGGUGGCACCGGGAUCUACUAAAACCUUUGUAAAGCGGUGGAAUACAUGGAUCGUACCUUCUACGACCUCAGAGGAAUCUGGAACCUAUUGAGCCUCUAACGAGUACACUCGAGCUGGCACCUUAGGUUUAGUCCCUUCUCCCUUAGCUGGUCCAGCGUUGGUCUUUGACGGUGGUUAACUUCCCUUUCCAUCUUGCUUUAAAAUUGGGCAGGUGGCAAGCUGGUGGUCUGCACUUCCGUAACGCAGACAUUUCCCAUCUUUCUUCUAGCAGUUGUCUUCAGAAUGAUUUGGCUUUCCGCAAUACCGACAAGAUCCACGGGACGCCGAACCUGAACCCCUCUGGAAAUUUCCUCUAUGGCCUUUCCCAACUUGGCCACCUCUAGAUGGAGUUCCUCUGCCUACUCCCGACUGCCGUCCACCUCCAACUCCCCGUCCGUACUUGGGAGGAGCACUCUUCUCCCCCUGUCCUGAACUGCUCCCAGAAAAGUUUCGCUUCUUUGCCUGAAAGUUCCUUACUUGGAGUCUAGCGCUUUCCACCCGUUGGGCUUUCUCCACGGCCUCGCUAAAAGCAUUAACCUGGGCCACUGCGACGUCUUUUUGAAUUUCUAUGUUCAAACCCUGGAUAAAACGCCUUAUUCGCCGCUGUUCGGUCAUGAUCAGUUCCGGAGCAAAUUUGGAUAGACGGGUGAACUGACUCUCGUAUUUCGCUACAGACUGGGUUCCUUGGCGAAGUCGGAUAAACUCAUCUUCCUUCCGUUCCUGGACUAGAGGAGGGAAGAAUUUAGCGUUGAACUCUCACAUGAAAUUCACCCAAGUCCGGGGCGUUUGCUCCCGUUCCUACUUCUGUCGGAUGACGUUCCACUAGGAACGGGCUGCCCCUUCUAACUGGAAGACGGCGAAGGUCACCUGCCUUUCCUCGGUGUAGUGCAAGGCAGCAAAAAUAUCUAUCAUUUUCUCUAACCAUCUUUUGGUUACAUCCGGAUCGGGCCCCUCAAAGAAUUUUGGUGGGGCAAACUUCUGAAAUCUCUCGAGAGCCCUGUCCUCGCUCUCCACGUGGUUGCCAGGGAUCCCAGAGUUGGGGUUAGGGUUUUGACCCUGUUGCUGCAUCACUUGGGCCAGUAAAUUAGUCAUUUGCUGCAUAGCAGCAGCUAUUUGAACGUUGGGGUCAACCCUAAGUUCAGGGUUGGGCCCAAACGAAGUUUCCCCAGCGCCCCUGUCCGACGUGGGUUGCCUACUCCCGCGCCCACGUCCCCGACCACUACGGGUGCCCUCCAUAGAAUCUAUUCAAUCUAAGCAAAUGUAACUAGAAUAAUAAAAUAACAAUACAUGUACAUAAGAAACCAAAAGCUUUUGCAAUAAAGCAUAUACACAUUUCAAAGCAAAGUCACCAAAACAAAGUCAAACAAAGCACAUAUUAACAGUCAGUCAAGUACAACAAAGACAAUCCACAAGGGAACGGCAUCAUCAACAGUCGUAUACACAUCACUAGUCCAAACGUACAAAAAUGGCUAGCUAAAGUUCUUUCCCAAGUCUACCAUUCCCUAUCCAUCCAAUACACAAUAGUCAAAACCAUCCAAAACCCUAAAACUAACGGCUUAGUCCAUCGUCGGGCUAGUGGACCCACCCGACGGGGUGGAUUCACCUCCAACCUCGCCCCCCAUACACGAAGCCUCGUCACUCUUCUCCUCAAGCAAAUCGUCGCAAAGGUUGAAGAUCGACUCGACUCGAACCCUAACUUUCCUAGCUCUCUUAGUUAUACGCUCACGUGCCUCUCCAAAUUGGGCGCAAAGGUCGUCCACCCUAUCUUGACCUUCGAUCACGUCGUACUCUAGCUCCUUGAUUCGCUCCACUUGUUUCUCGUUAGCUGCCCUUAGUUGGUUCACUUCGGCCUCAAGCCUAGCGUUAUCCUUCGCCAACUCCUUUCGUUCUUCUACCACAGCCAACAAUGCGGUGUUAGGGCAGGCUUAAGUGUGAUGACACUCACAACGUCGGAGGCGAUUAGCCGGGCUCCAACGUAUGACGACCCCUCUUGGCCGAAUCUGGUACUUAAUCGUCCGGAGCACUCCACGGGGUCGCUCACCAGUAGGGCUACCCCUAGGCCCACUAUGCCCGUCUAUCCUACACCAAAAGAGUAAAUAAUCAAAAAUAAUCUUAAGAGACACAAUCAAAAUAAUCCUCAAGUCGAGCAUUUUUAACACGCUCAGGCCAAUUCAAAUCUAAACUCUGAUACCACCUGUGACAGCCCCACCUUCCCCCAAGGCGAACCAAAGAGGUUAGCGGACUGCCUGCCCAACUCUCGCCAGAACUAACGGUGCAGUUAAACACGAUCUAAAACGUUCCGAAAAAUAAAGGCGCGCUCAGACAAGUCAAAAUUGCAAAAUGUCCAAAUGAAAAUUCAAAACCGUCGAUGAAUAGUGGGUGUCAUGUCACAUAACUCGAAAAAAUAUUUUCAAACCAAAUAGGACACAUAAACAGGGUUAUACAGUGUUAUACACAUACGUUUGUAAUUUACAAAACAAAAGGAAGAUAAUUAGAUCAAAAUACAUUUAGGAUUUUUCCAACUAUCGAGGAGUUUUAAAAAAUAUAUUAAAACUAACUCAACUCGUGUUUCAAAAUAUCAUAGUCCCCAAAAGUGGUUCCCUGUAAGGAAAACAAAAUUUAAUGGAGUGACCUUACGCCCAGUGAGGUACACUCAUGCAGAUCAGUAAAAUUCACAUAUGCACAUAGUUGCUCAAUCCAAACGUUCAACAAGUAAUCCAAACAUUUAAAUUCAAUAAAAGGAUACGGACGGCUCUCAAGAGCCCUUAUCCUUGCUUGCUGUACUUGAUCUCACCCCGUUGACCUUCCGUCAACGCUUAAAGAAAUAACCAAUACCGUAGACCCCACUUUCUCCACUUUCCAUCCACCUCACAUACCCCUACCGGGUCCGAUCUCCAAACAGUGACAAAUUGGCAAUACUCGAGUAUACCGGAAUCGAGAGUUUCAUACUACAAGAUUCCAUAUAACAGUCCCCAUGGCUCGUCAAUUUUCACGAUCAAGCCCUUGCCGGCUCGAUUCAAUUGACACCGAUGGGGUUGAGCUCAGUGAUAACAGUAAUGGCCGUUGGAUACUCGUCCAACCGACACCAAUUCCAAUAUAUUCAUAUACCAUUCAAGUUGUCGCGCCCCAUUUUUCGCGAUGGAAAAUAAAAGGUGUUUAUAAAAAGAUGGUUUAGAAAAGAUGUGAUCUUAUUUUAAAACAAGUUAAAAGGGACCUAAAAUGGGACUUAAAAAAAAUGCGACAAUUUGGGUCCAAAAUUUAGUCUAAAAGGGUUUUUAAGAAAAAAAUAGGAGUCGCCACUUGGUAUGGAGUUUUGGUGUACCAAGUCACCCAAAAAAUAUUUUUUAACAAAAAUAAAAUAAAUCAAAACCCUUUUUAACAACUCCAGGUCUUUGAAAACAAGAGAAAAUAGGUUCGGGAGUCACGGUUGAAGAAAGGGAAGGCAAAGGUUUAAUUGACUCAAACCUAAGGCACCCUUUCAACCUAGUCUAAGCUAGUUGCUAGAUUUAGUCAAAAUUUUCCUAAUCUAACCCUUAAUUUUAUCAUAUUUGGAUGUUUCCUAUGUGUAUGCAAAUCUAAAUUAAAAAAAAUAUCGAAAGGGACAAAAUGUUCAUUCAAGGGUUUAAUUGAACCAAUCGCAUUAAUUGCGAAGGCCAAAAUGAUUCCUUGAAAGUGUCACGAGUAUGCAAAUGAUGAAAUUAAAAUAAAAGAAAAGAAAUUAAGUUAUAUACAUAUAUAUAAGUGAUCAAAGAAAAGGGAAUGCAACAUAAAGGGUGCGGGAGACAAAGACUCGUGACAUAAUUUUUAUAUACAAGGAUUAAUGGGGUAUUUAAACUAUAGAGUUAUAAUCACCCAUUUUCCAUGUUUGAAAAAUAAUUAUCCUAACAUGAACAAGCAAAUGAACUAGUCUAAAUGAGAUGCAAUUCUAAAUGACAUGAUUAGCACCUAUAGAGGGUAGGGGGUAAUAUAAUAAGGAAUAUCAUGCAAAUAAGAAAAGAUCCUAAAAAUGAAAAUAUGCAUGAAAAUGUAGUGAAUAUCACACAAAGAUGAAUCUAGCGCAAGACGACCUAAAGGGUCUAGCGUUGGACUAGCCCAUUUCUAAAAGUCCUUACUAGCGUUGGACUAGCAAGUAAGCGGAGGGAGAAACCACAACUAGCGUUGGACUAGUGUGGUGACGUCAUGCAUUAACAAUUCAUAGUGAAACAAAUAAAACAUAAAUUAAAACAAAUAAACACAUAAGAGCACGUAGCACAUAACACGUAAACAUAAUAUUUAGAUGCCAAAAUCCUAAGAAAAGCGGAUAAAACACAUAACACAUAAACCACAUAAACACGCAACCUAUCUAUUACAUCGGGGAGCGCCUAACUACAAUCUAAAAGGGAAAAAUAUAAUAAAACAAAUCUAAUUAUCCUAUCUAUUACAUUUUUGAGGUAUUUAAAUGCCUCUUGAAUCAUUGUAAAAAUUAACUAAAACAUAUAUAAGAAAAUUUGAAUGAAUAUUUAAAUCAAAUAAAUAAAGCAUAUAAAAAUAUAAACACAUAGGAACACAUAAGAGCACAUAAGAGCACGUAAUUGACAUUGAAAUAAUAAAAAUAGGGGUACCUCCCGUUUGAAGUGGUGACUAAAUGGAGUUAAAUUGUCCUAUUUAUACUCACAAUGAACAAAAGGAUCAUGGCACCAAUUUAAUAGAAAAAGAAAAUAAUAAUACAAGUACUAAAUUCACACUAAUAUAUCAGACGUAAAGAAAUUUAAGUAAAUCUAAAAAUUCCAAAUUAAGUAUAUUCAAAAGUAGCAUAAUUAGCUAUUAAAGAAAAGAAACAAUCAUAAUAAAGAGAGUCAAAAUUCAUCAGGGACCGAAUUGCAAAAAUUGAAAACUUUUGGGGGACAAAAAUUAUAUUUUUCAAAGCUCAGGGGUCAAAAUUAAAUGAAAGAUAAAAUUCAGGGACCAAAAUUCAAUUAAUUUAAGGACCUAGGUGAAAGGAAUUUAAAAUGUUCUGGGCCACAAUAAAACUACUCCAAAGAUCAGGGGCCAAAGUGCAAAUCGUAACCAGAUCUGGGCAAGAAAAAGGGCAUCGGGCUACUCUUUUUAUUUUAUUUGGGCCAAACCUACCUAAGCCCAACUGAAAACCCAAGCUAAAACACACAGGCCAGCUCGUCUUUUUUAUCCCUCAAACCCAGCCAAAAAACACAUGGGCUCCAAGCUCCUAGCCUAACUGAAACCCAAAAGAAAACAUAAACCAAAGCCCAGCCCCAAAACCUAACAAAACUAGCUCUUGGCCCAACCGAAAAAUAAACAUUAGCCCAAUCCCCUUUUUUCUUUUCUUUUCUUUUUCUUCUUCUUCUACCCUUCCGGUUCUUCUUUUCCUUGCCUGGCCGGCUGAAGCUCCUCGCCACCGCCAACCAUGGCUGACAUGGCGGCUGCCGGCGCCGCCACCGCCGGUCGCCGGCCAUUUUUCCGAUCACAAAAUUUCACCAAAAUACACCCCCUCACUCGAUUUUUCGCGUAGGUUCCAUUUCCGGAGUUAGUUUUUACAAAAAGUGAGCCGAAAGUGGUCAAAAUGCCAAGAAAUCAGUUCAGUUUUUAUUUUUUCAAAACACCAUCUUUCAUCAAAAAUCAUGAAAAUUAUACUACAACACUCUUACAACUCCUACAAUACAAAUAUGAUUUUAUUUUGACAAGAAAAACAACAUAAAAGGACUAAAAUAAAUCAAAACAGUCCCCUAAGAUUCUUUCUUUUCAUUUUGGUAUUUUUUCAAACGGUUAACAUGCAUGCAUAAAAAACAUUUCCUUUUCCUCAAUCUAGUUCAUGCCAUUUCCCAAUUUUCAGCAAUACAACAACAACAAUAAAAACCAGCAAAAGCAAGAUAAAUUAAAAUCAAAAUGCAUCUAAUAUGCUUAAAAAAAAAACUGGAAAAUACCUCAAUGAAAGUGGAAUUGCCUUGGCUGAAAUUUUUUUUGAUGCCUUUCUUUCUUUUUUCGGUAGAGAGCCAAGAGAGAGAGCCGAGAGCCUCCCUUCUUUUUUCCUUGUUUCUGUUUUUGUUUCUUGUCCUCCGUCUGUGAGAGCCGAGAGAGUAGAUUGAGGAAGUAGUUUUUUUCUUUUUUUUUUCUUCUUCUUUUCGGUCCAGCCCAGAGAGAGCCGAGAGCCUUUUUUUUUGUGUCAUUUUUUUCCUCCUUUUUUCAAGAGAGAGCCCAGAGGGAUGGAGAUUUUCUUUUUUUUUUUUCUUUUUGGCUUCCCUGUUGUGUCCUCUGGGAGAGAGCUGAGAGAGGAGAUCGAGGAAGU
rnacentral:lncRNA from 1 species